AGUGAACGCUGGCGGUAGGCCUAACACAUGCAAGUCGAACGGCAGCACAGUAAGUUCUUGCUCUUACGGGUGGCGAGUGGCGGACGGGUCAGGAAUACAACCCAACCUAUUCUUUCGUGGGGCAUAACGUAGCGAAUCUUACGCUCAUACCGCAUACUACCCCCGGGUGAAAGCAUGGGAUCUUCGGACCUUGCGCGAAUGUAUGAGCCGAUGUCGGAUUAGCUAGUUGGCGGGGUAAAGGCCCACCAAGGCGACGAUCCGUAGCUGGUCUGAGAGGAUGAUCAGCCACACUGGAACUGAGACACGGUCCAGACUCCUACGGGAGGCAGCAGUGGGGAAUAUUGGGCAAUGGGCGCAAGCCUGAUCCAGCCAUACCGCGUGGGUGAAGAAGGCCUUCGGGUUGUAAAGCCCUUUUGUUGGGGAAGAAAAGCAGCAGGUUGAUACCCCGCUGUUCUGACGGUACCCAAAGAAUAAGCACCGGCUAACUUCGUG
rnacentral:rRNA from 1 species